rnacentral:rRNA from 2 species
UGAGGAAUAUUGGUCAAUGGACGCAAGUCUGAACCAGCCAUGCCGCGUGCAGGAUGACGGCUCUAUGAGUUGUAAACUGCUUUUGUACGAGGGUAAACGCAGAUACGUGUAUCUGUCUGAAAGUAUCGUACGAAUAAGGAUCGGCUAACUCCGUGCCAGCAGCCGCGGUAAUACGGAGGAUUCAAGCGUUAUCCGGAUUUAUUGGGUUUAAAGGGUGCGUAGGCGGUUUGAUAAGUUAGAGGUGAAAUUUCGGGGCUCAACCCUGAACGUGCCUCUAAUACUGUUGAGCUAGAGAGUAGUUGCGGUAGGCGGAAUGUAUGGUGUAGCGGUGAAAUGCUUAGAGAUCAUACAGAACACCGAUUGCGAAGGCAGCUUACCAAACUAUAUCUGACGUUGAGGCACGAAAGCGUGGGGAGCAAACAGGAUUAGAUACCCUGGUAGUCCACGCAGUAAACGAUGAUAACUCGUUGUCGGCGAUACACAGUCGGUGACUAAGCGAAAGCGAUAAGUUAUCCACCUGGGGAGUACGUUCGCAAGAAUGAAACUCAAAGGAAUUGACGGGGGCCCGCACAAGCGGAGGAACAUGUGGUUUAAUUCGAUGAUACGCGAGGAACCUUACCCGGGCUUGAAAGUUAGCGACGAUUCUUGAAAGAGGAUUUCCCUUCGGGGCGCGAAACUAGGUGCUGCAUGGUUGUCGUCAGCUCGUGCCGUGAGGUGUCGGGUUAAGUCCCAUAACGAGCGCAACCCCUACCGUUAGUUGCCAUCAGGUGAAGCUGGGCACUCUGGCGGGACUGCCGGUGUAAGCCGAGAGGAAGGUGGGGAUGACGUCAAAUCAGCACGGCCCUUACGUCCGGGGCUACACACGUGUUACAAUGGUAGGUACAGAGGGCAGCUACCCAGCGAUGGGAUGCGAAUCUCGAAAGCCUAUCUCAGUUCGGAUUGGAGGCUGAAACCCGCCUCCAUGAAGUUGGAUUCGCUAGUAAUCGCGCAUCAGCCAUGGCGCGGUGAAUACGUUCCC